AAUGAACGCUGGCGGCAUGCCUAACACAUGCAAGUCGAACGAAGGCUUCGGCCUUAGUGGCGCACGGGUGCGUAACGCGUGGGAAUCUGCCCCUUGGUUCGGAAUAACAGUUGGAAACGACUGCUAAUACCGGAUGACGACGUAAGUCCAAAGAUUUAUCGCCGAGGGAUGAGCCCGCGUAGGAUUAGGUAGUUGGUGUGGUAAAGGCGCACCAAGCCGACGAUCCUUAGCUGGUCUGAGAGGAUGAUCAGCCACACUGGGACUGAGACACGGCCCAGACUCCUACGGGAGGCAGCAGUGGGGAAUAUUGGACAAUGGGCGAAAGCCUGAUCCAGCAAUGCCGCGUGAGUGAUGAAGGCCUUAGGGUUGUAAAGCUCUUUUACCCGGGAUGAUAAUGACAGUACCGGGAGAAUAAGCUCCGGCUAACUCCGUGCCAGCAGCCGCGGUAAUACGGAGGGAGCUAGCGUUAUUCGGAAUUACUGGGCGUAAAGCGCACGUAGGCGGCUUUGUAGUAGAG
rnacentral:rRNA from 1 species